UUUGCUUGGGUGGCUGUGGUCGUCCGGGGAGAAGGCAGUGUUGGACAUAAGGGUUUUUUGUUUUGUUUUUUUAAGAUUUAUUUAUUUGUUCAUGAGAGACAGGCAGAGAGAGAAGCAGGCUCCCCACUGGGAGCCUGAUGUGGGACUCAAUUCCGGAUCCUGGGAUCACGCCCUGAGCCAAAGGCAGGUGCCCAACUGCUGAGUCACCCAGGUGUCCAAGGAUCUUAAAGCUGUUUUUGAAGUAUGCAAAUAAUGAAGUUACCAAGAAAUGGCACAAAUACAUUCUGAGGCGGUGAACACACUCCUUCAGCCAGCACACAUAGGAGCACCAGCAGUACUGGAAGCUAGAAGUCUGAAGUCAAGAUGCUGGCCAGGGUUGGUGCCUACUAGAGGUUCUGAGAGUCUAUUUUAUGAUUCUCUCCUGCAUUCUCAUGGUUGCUGGCAAUCAGUGGCAUCCCUGGUUUGUUGGCACAUCAUUCUUUUGUGUGUCCAUCUUUACAUGAUGUUCUGUGCUGCACGUGUCCGUCUCCCAACUUUUUU